rnacentral:rRNA from 1 species
UACGGGGGGGGCAAGCGUUGUUCGGAAUUACUGGGCGUAAAGGGCUCGUAGGUGGCCAACUAAGUCAGAUGUGAAAUCCCCGGGCUCAACCUGGGAACUGCAUUUGUGACUGCAUCGCUGGAGUGCGGCAGAGGGGGAUGGAAUUCCGCGUGUAGCAGUGAAAUGCGUAGAUAUGCGGAGGAACACCGAUGGCGAAGGCAAUCCCCUGGGCCUGCACUGACGCUCAUGCACGAAAGCGUGGGGAGCAAACAGG